rnacentral:rRNA from 1 species
GUGGGUAGUUUGACUGGGGCGGUCUCCUCCCAAAGAGUAACGGAGGAGCACGAAGGUUGGCUAAUCCUGGUCGGACAUCAGGAGGUUAGUGCAAUGGCAUAAGCCAGCUUGACUGCGAGCGUGACGGCGCGAGCAGGUGCGAAAGCAGGUCAUAGUGAUCCGGUGGUUCUGAAUGGAAGGGCCAUCGCUCAACGGAUAAAAGGUACUCCGGGGAUAACAGGCUGAUACCGCCCAAGAGUUCAUAUCGACGGCGGUGUUUGGCACCUCGAUGUCGGCUCAUCACAUCCUGGGGCUGAAGUAGGUCCCAAGGGUAUGGCUGUUCGCCAUUUAAAGUGGUACGCGAGCUGGGUUUAGAACGUCGUGAGACAGUUCGGUCCCUAUCUGCCGUGGGCGCUGGAGAAUUGAGGGGGGCUGCUCCUAGUACGAGAGGACCGGAGUGGACGCAUCACUGGUGUUCGGGUUGUCAUGCCAAUGGCACUGCCCGGUAGCUAAAUGCGGAAGAGAUAAGUGCUGAAAGCAUCUAAGCACGAAACUUGCCCCGAGAUGAGUUCUCCCUGAGACUUUAAGUCUCCUGAAGGA